AGACAGCAGCAGCCGCGGUAAUACGUAGGGUGCGAGCGUUAAUCGGAAUUACUGGGCGUAAAGCGUGCGCAGGCGGUUGUGUAAGACAGGUGUGAAAUCCCCGGGCUCAACCUGGGAACUGCAUUUGUGACUGGCAAGCUAGAGUGUGGCAGAGGGGGGUGGAAUUCCGCGUGUAGCAGUGAAAUGCGUAGAUAUGCGGAGGAACACCGAUGGCGAAGGCAGCCCCCUGGGCCAACACUGACGCCCAUGCACGAAAGCGUGGGGAGCAAACAGGAUUAGAUACCCGCGUAGUCCCUGUCUCUUAUAC
rnacentral:rRNA from 1 species